rnacentral:rRNA from 1 species
GAUGAACGCUAGCGGGAGGCUUAACACAUGCAAGUCGAGGGGCAGCAUAGGGUAGCAAUACUCUGAUGGCGACCGGCAAACGGGUGAGUAACGCGUAUGUAACCUACCCUGUACAGGGGGAUAACCCGGAGAAAUUCGGACUAAUAUCCCAUAACAAUAUCUGGGGGCAUCUUUGGAUAUUUAAAGUUCCGGCGGUACGGGAUGGGCAUGCGUAACAUUAGCUAGUUGGUAAGGUAACGGCUUACCAAGGCUUUGAUGUUUAGGGGUCCUGAGAGGGUGGUCCCCCACACUGGUACUGAGACACGGACCAGACUCCUACGGGAGGCAGCAGUGAGGAAUAUUGGUCAAUGGGCGCAAGCCUGAACCAGCCAUCCCGCGUGCAGGAAGACGGCGCUAUGCGUUGUAAACUGCUUUUCCAGGGAGAGAAACUUGCGCACGUGUUGCGCAAUUGACGGUACCCUGGGAAUAAGCAUCGGCUAACUCCGUG